GGGCUCACACAAGCGGUGGAGCAUGUGGAUCAAUUCGAAGCAACGCGAAGAACCUUACCUGGGUUUGACAUGCACGGAUGGUCUCGGGGAAACUCGAGUAAUCUGCCUUCGGGUGAAACGUGCACAGGUGCUGCAUGGCUGUCGUCAGCUCGUGCUGUGAAGUGUCGGGUUAAGUCCCUUAACGAGCGGAACCCUUAUCGUUAGUUGCCAGCGGGUCAAGCCGGGAACUCUAACGAGACUGCCGGCGUUAAGCCGGAGGAAGGCGGGGACGACGUCAAGUCAUCAUGGCCUUUAUGCCCAGGGUGUCACACGUGCUACAAUGGGGUGUACAGAGCGACGCAAAGCCGCAAGGUAGAGCAAAUCGCAGAAAACAUCCCUCAGUUCGGAUUGGGGUCUGCAACCCGACCUCAUGAAGCUGGAAUCGCUAGUAAUCGCGUAUCAGCCAUGACGCGGUGAAUAUGUUCCUGAGCCUU
rnacentral:rRNA from 1 species